UCUCCUCGUGUCUCCUUGUGUCUCCUCGUGUCUCCUCGUCCUGCCUCAGGUGGAGACAUCGAGUCAGCCGUCAGUUCAUCAGCAGUAGCGUGUCGUCUGCAGCUCGAGGAUCACGGAUAAAACACGGCUUUGGUGUCAGCCUGCCAGACGUGGAGAGCCGAGGCAGAGGCAGAGACUCGACUCGAAGCCCCUCAGAGCCUCUCCACGUCGGACACUCGACGUGAACCCGAGGGCUGACAUGAAAGACGGAGGCACAGAUGUGACACACAUGAGAUGAGUUCUUCAAAGCUCUGAAGGUUCAGCUGACAAACCUCCAGAGAUCAGGCUGAGACUCAGCGAGGGUUCAAAACACCUGAAGAGCAAAGAAACCCCGAGAGGAGACGAGGGCGAAUGAAAGGCUGUGACGGACAGAGGAAGUGAUGAAAGAGCAGAGCAUCUGAUGAGAGGUCAUGCAGACUGAUGAUAAACUAAAGAGGAAGAGGAGAGUGUCUGUUAGAGGAAGAGGAAGAGGAAGAGGAAGAGAUACUGAGAUCAGCACAGGAAGCUACAGAGGAAGAGGAAGAAGAUCGAGGAGAUUGACUAACAGAUGUUAAAUCUCGUUCAGUCUGCUCGUCUCCUGGUGACGUGGAUCAUCAGUUAAACGAUGCCUGGUUGCUCAAACAAGCGUCCACGCUCUUAAUCCUGCAUAACUUUAAGCCUUAAUAUAAUGUGAACAGAGUUCAACAAGCUGUGAAGAGAUGUGAGCCUCAGUCCAAACAGACCUUUGUCUCCGUGGGACAAACCUUUCCUCACAGGAUGAAGACGCCGUCACUCUUUCAUCCCCAUGCCGACCUCUGAGCCGCUUGUUGUUCAUUUGGAGUCCC